UUUGGCUGGGAACCUGCAAGAAACUGACCCUGUUUCUUUUUCCCACAGGAGCACAAAAGGCAGUGAAGGAGAAACCCAAGAAAGGGAAAAAGGAAAAACCACCCAAACCACCCAAACCAUCCAAGAAGCCUAAAGAGAAACCUCCCAAGAGCCCCAAGAAGGAGAAGCCCCCGAAGCCUACCAAAAAGCCGAAGGAGAAGCGUCCAAAAGCUACAAAGAAGCCGAAGGAGAAGUCCCCUGGAGGCACCAAGAAACCGUCAGGGGGAAAGAGAACAGAGAGGCCUCCCCCACCNGUCCAGCCCUAUGAAGAAGAGGAUGGGUACCACUUCCCAGAGAGCCCGCAGAGCCCACCUCCAGAGACCUUCGGGGCUCCUGACGCUCCGUAUGGAAGGGAGGACGAGGAAUCCCGUGCAAACGAAGAAGGAGGAGAGGCUCUGUUCCCAGAAGAGCCAAUGGAGCCACGAUGGGACNAGAAACAGGAUCCAAACCAACAUCACAAUUCCACCGAAGAGCAGGAGCCACCAACUCUGGAUUACAAUGAACAGAUUGAGCGCGAAGAUUACGAGGACUUUGACUACAUCAGGCGGCAGCACAGGCCCAGCAAACCACCGAAACGGAGGAAACCUGAGAGACCCAUCUUGGAGACAGAGGAGCGGCCAAGUAUGCAGCUUGUUUCCUUUGGCUCGCUUGGACUUUGCCAGGAUGUUGGAAACUAGAGGCAGAUUAGAAGGGGGAGGGAGGGGAACGGAAAGGCAUGAAAAAGUACUCCGAGACGUUGGAAGCAGAAGGAGACAGAAUGCGUUGAAACUUCAAGCAAGGGCAUCCCUUGCUCCUGAGAGUGCCAGAGGCCCACCUCCUUUCAAGUCUCUACUCUUCCAAAUUUGGUGCCUAGAAACUAGAUUUUUCUGGAAGGGUAAUGUUGGAAGCUGCUUUGUUCUCAGUUGGCCAGUUUGGGUCAGCAGAGCCUUUGCAGACUGACAGCUUAUCGCUAAGGAAUUUAGGCAAGGAUCUCUUCCUUUCUCACCUGGAGAUGAUGAGGUCUGAACCCAGAACCUUUGGAUGCAAAGCAAAUCCUCUACCACCAAUCUCUGCAGAGGAGGAGGGAGGAGAACAAAAAGGCAUGAAAAAACACUCCAAGAUAUUUUAACAUACUUGGGGAUUGCAACUCGGAGCAGAAGAUCUGAGAGGCAGGACACCUUUGUGCAGGGACGUGGCCGCUGGGUGCAGUUGCCUCCAGNAUGAACUUCCAUCAGCCCGGCGACUCUUUGCCUGUUUGUCAUCCCAGCCGUCCCUCCGGUUAGGCUUCUUCUUCUUUUACUGUGAAACGCUCUCCAGCUUUGCUGGAAGUUGGCCGGCUUAGAAUCCGCACAUGCUCAUUUGAAUAAGGCGGAGACAGGACGGCAGACGUUGCCUGUGGUGCUUUACACUGGAAUGUCUGGCCUUUGGAGAACUGUGGGAGCAUGUUUCUUCCAUCUUUUGCGCUCUCUGUUUUGCACUGUCCCAGAACAUGCUGUUUUAUGUCCGUACUGAAUCUGUCUGAUCUGGGGGUUUGCUUUGGAGCACUUCAAGUCAUCUAGUGUUUAAAAGUUCAGUGCUUCCCAGGCCCCUAGGAGGGGGCUUGGGCGGAGCAUUCACCGAUGCAUAUAUUGUGCCUGAGAGCUAAGUGGGCAAUCCCCA
ensembl:lncRNA